AGCGAACGCUGGCGGCAGGCUUAACACAUGCAAGUCGGACGGUAAGGCCCUUCGGGGUACACGAGUGGCGAACGGGUGAGUAACACGUGGGUGAUCUGCCCUGCACUUCGGGAUAAGCCUGGGAAACUGGGUCUAAUACCGGAUAGGACCCUGGGAUGCAUGUCCUGGGGUGGAAAGCUUUUGCGGUGUGGGAUGGGCCCGGGGCCUAGCAGCUUGUUGGUGGGGUGAUGGCCUACCAAGGCGACGACGGGGAGCCGGCCUGAGAGGGUGACCGCGCACACUGAGGCUGAGAUAAGGGCCGGACGCGUACGGGAGGCCGCAGUGGGGAAUAUUGCCCGAUGGGCGCAAGCCUGAUGCAGCGGCGCCGCGUGAGGGAUGACGGCCUUCGGGUUGUAAACCUCUUGCAGCGCCGACGAAGCGCAAGUGGCGGUAGGUGCAGAAGAAGGACCGGCCAACUACGAGGCAGCAGCCGCCGUAA
rnacentral:rRNA from 1 species